GAGCUACAAAUAUAGCUUUCGGUUUUAUUAAUUGAAGAUAAUAUUUAAAGUCAUCCAGAGAAAAUGAUGGAUCCAGAGCAUUUGGAAUAACUCCCGUUAAAAUCGAUGCUAUAAGAGGAAUCGGAGAAUCCAAAGUAUUUUGGUGUCGUAGCAACGUGCACAGAGUACAGCUAAUUAUUCAUAAAUAGAAGAAGAUCUCGCAAGAAACCAGCGUUGCCAGGUUCAGUAGAUAGAAUUAUCGCACUCUUUGGGAUAAAUUAUCGUAUUAAUAUCAAAAAUAUCGCCCUAUGGAACAUGGUGAAAUCCGCCUCCGAUCCCAUACAUUAAUGAACGGUUACUAUGGAGUGGACUCGUCAGAUGCUUACGAU